UACAGAGGUCCCAAGCGUUGUUCGGAUUCACUGGGCGUAAAGGGUGCGUAGGUGGUUGGGCAAGUCUGAUGUGAAAUCUCCGGGCUUAACCCGGAAAUGGCAUUGGAAACUGCCCGGCUAGAGUGUUGGAGGGGGGACUGGAAUUCUCGGUGUAGCAGUGAAAUGCGUAGAUAUCGAGAGGAACACCAGUGGCGAAGGCGAGUCCCUGGACAACACCUGACACUGAGGCACGAAAGCUAGGGGAGCAAACAGG
rnacentral:rRNA from 1 species